GGCAUGUGCAGGUCCAUUCCGUGUCCACGACGCAGCCUGGGGGAGGCAGGGAGGUUGGGGAAGAGCAGUCAGCCCUGGCCUCGGUCAGCCCAUGGCUUCAAGGAGAGGGGUGACAUGGUGUGGCCUUCACUCAGGGGCGGAGGGCUGGAGUCCUUUGGGUGUGGGAGACCUGGGGAUCCAGUGGUCUCAGGCCAGCCAGGCAAGCUUCACAGAAACGUGAGCCCCAUGUGAGGCCUGGAGCACAGGCUGCAAUCCGGAGGUAAGUGACAUCUGCAGGGCCCUGGGAGUAGGGGCACCCAGGCCAGACAGGCCCUGGCAGCUGGGAGCUGUGGGUAGGUCUGCUGGAAUGGGCUAUGGAGGGACAGAGGGGCCUGAGGGAGGUACCAGCUGGUGGGUGCUAGACACAGGCAGAGGCCUUUAGAUGUCCCCUGAGUUCAGGCAGGGCUGUGUGGGGACCACCAAUCGUCCUUUCUGACCACAUUGGGGGCUUCCUGAAACUGGGGGGAAACUGCAUGAGCUGUUUACCCUGAGAACCUGCGUUUUAGUCAGCUUUCCCACCGCUGUGACUAAAGGACCUGAGCAUGCCAACUGCAGAGAAGGAGUACUUUAUUUGAAGUCUUAGUCUGCAGAAGGUCGGCUCCAUUGAUUGGGCUCCAAGUGACGCUGAACGUCAUGGUGGGAGAGGGUGGCAAGGGGAAGCAGCUCACGUGGUGAUCAGGAAGCAGAGAGACUCCACUCACCAGAUGCAAAUAUAUACCCACAGCCACGCGCCAAUAACCACCUCCUCCAGCCACACCCCGCCACUUUAGUUACCAGUUAAUCCCUCCAGGAGAUUAGAUCACUGAUUGGGUUAAGACUCUCACAACCCAAUCAUGUCUCCUCUGAACCUUCUUGCGUUGUCUCACAUGUGAGCUUUUGGGGGAGACCUCACCUCCAAACCAUAACACGUGAGGACUCCAUGGUAGGAAUGUGGCGCACUGAGAAGGAACUAUAGAACUAGGUCCACCUCGCCAGCUCCUAUGGGCCUGAGUGGCCUCUGGGACUUUCCCCUCAAAUCCCCGGCCUCUGUCUCCUUCCUGUCCUCACCCUUCUCAGGUGAGCUUGGGGGUGGGGAGCCAGCUCCACAGUGGUCAGGCAGGGACAGGCGGGGCUGGCAGGGUUCCAGACAGGCCAGGGAUGCUGCUGGCCUCAGUGGGAGAGAGCAGGGCUCCUGAGACCAGUUACCCCUGCGCAGGGCUUAGCGUUGCUACGAAUAAAGUAGCCCCAGCCCCCACAGGUUGCACACACUCCUUCUGUGAAGUCUGACAAACAAAUGUCAGAUUCGCCACUCUCCCAUUGGCCCUGAAUGGGGUUUUUCAACGCGGAUCACACAGAGGCGCAGGUGCCUGCUCCCCCGUCAGGACUGAUGGCGUGUGGCCAGGAGUGGCGAGGGCACAAGUUUCUUCUGCUGGCUUCUGCUGUAGAAAGUCACCUUGCCAAGGCUAGACCUCCCUCCCCCAGGCCAGGGCGCCCUGCCUUCCGACUGACUGGCCUGGGGUCUGGGGCCCCGACGUCCCUUUCCCAGCUUGGGCAAGUCUGGAGGGCUUCUCCUGUCCUCAGGCCUGGCGAGGCCCUGGGCCCUGGGCUUUCCCCGGGGCCUGCAUGACAACCCACUCCUCCUGUCCUGUGCUGCCCCCUGUGCUUCUUUUCCCAGAGCCAUCGAC
rnacentral:lncRNA from 1 species